AUUCUCUCUCAUUCUCUCAUUCUCUCUCUCUCUCUCUCUCUCUCUCUCGCUAAGAUCCUUCGCCAUUCAUCGUCCAUUUCCAAAAACAGAGGGUACUGUGUGUAUCAAAAGAGGAAACUCUACACUUUUAGUGGAUAGGAUCGUCGUUUCGGAGAGUUUCGGGUUUUCCCAAGAAUCGAGGUUUUCAGGACCUCGAGUUGUCGAUUUGGACCGUUUUCAUACGAACUUUCAUUUCGAGUAUAAGGUCCGUCCGUGCGUUGGUCCUAAUAGAUAAAGGGACUGGGGAGGUUAUUUUGGUUAACUUACGUAAGCAUCUAAAUUUUGUACUAAACUUGAUGAAAGUCCUUUUUGGGGGGUUGAAAUAUGACGAUUACUCUAAAUCCGAAUGUAUGUAAAUUAUGGAUGUAUUAGUAAACUCUGGUAUAAGGCUAGCAGUAAUCCCAAUGGAUGUUUAUGUUUUUCCGCGACAUUUACAUCAUAAUUAUAUAUGAUUUACACCCGUAUGUCCCUGUUUAGGGCGGGUUGUUUC